rnacentral:ncRNA from 35 species
UCACAAAUAAAUAUUUCGAGUAACUCCCCUGUUUGAGGGGUCGGUUAGGGAAACCGGUGUAAAUCCGGUGCUGUGCCGCAACUGUGAUCCCGAUUUUAUCGGGAAAGUCAGAUGACUAACCUCGGUUAUUCGCUAGACC